rnacentral:piRNA from 1 species
UCCCAUCUACACUGGAUCCAGCGUGCACGU